rnacentral:rRNA from 1 species
GACAGAGGUGGCAAGCGUUGUUCGGAAUUACUGGGCGUAAAGGGUGUGUAGGUGGUUGGAUAAGUCAGAGGUGAAAGCCCACAGCUUAACUGUGGAAGUGCCUUUGAAACUGUCUGACUUGAGUGCAGGAGAGGAGGGUGGAAUUCCCGGUGUAGAGGUGAAAUUCGUAGAUAUCGGGAGGAACACCAGCGGCGAAGGCGGCCCUCUGGACUGCAACUGACACUGAAACACGAAAGCGUGGGGAG